rnacentral:rRNA from 1 species
AGAGUUUGAUCCUGGCUCAGGAUGAACGCUGGCGGCGUGCCUAACACAUGCAAGUCGAACGGACUUAUAACAAAACCUAUGGAAUUAUAAGUUAGUGACCGACGGGUGAGUAACGCAUGGAAAACCUGCCUUAUACUGGCGGCGAUAACUCUUAUAAAUAGGUGCUAAUACCGCAUAAACGCACAGCUUCUACAUGAAUGAUGGUGAAAAAUUCCAAGUUGGUAUACUAUGGUUCCGCUUCUGAUUAUCUAGUUGGUGAGGUAAAAGCCCACCAAGGCAACGAUCAGUAACCGGCCUGAUAAGAUGAACGGCCCCCUUGGGACUGAUACACCGCCCACACUCCUACUGGAGGAAGCAGUGGGGGAUAUUGCACAAUGGGGGAAACCCUGAUGCACCGACCCCGCGUGAGUGAAGAAGUAUUUCCGAACGUAAAGCUCUAUCAGCAGGGAAGAAAAAAAGUUCACAGGACUUUGGACGGUACCUGACUAAGAAGCCCCGGGUAACUACGUGCCAGCAGCCGCGGUAAUACGUAGGGGGCAUGCGUUAUCUGUAUUUAUUGGGUGUAAAGGGAGCGUAGACGGCUGUGCAAGUAUGAAGUGAAAUACCGGGGCUCAACCCCGGAACUACUUUGGAAACUGUACAGCUAUGAGUGCAGGAGGGGUGAGCGGAAUUCAUAGUGUAGCGGUGAAAUGAGUAGAUAUUAGGAGUCACACAGUGUGGCGAAGGCGGGCUCACUGGUCUGUAACUGACGUCGAGGCUCGAAGAGCGUGGAGAGCAAACAUGAUUAGAUACCUUGGUAGUCCACACGGUAACCCAUGAUUACUAGGUGUCGGGGGGGCCAAGGCCUUUCCGGUGCCGGCCCCAAACGCAUCAAGUAAUCCUCCUGGGGAGUGCGUUCGCAAGAAUGAAACUCAAAGGAAUUGACGGGGACCCGCACAAGCGGUGGAGCAUGUGGUUUAAUCAGAAGCAACGUGAAGAACCUUCCCCGGCCUUGACAUCCCGAUGCAAUGUACAGUAAUGAUGUCCAGGACUUCGGUACAUCGGAGACAGGUGGUGCAUGGUUGUUGUCAGCUCGUGUCCGUGAGAUGUUGGGUUAAGUCCCGCAACGAGCGCAACCCCUGCUCUCAGUAGCCAGCAGGUAAAGCUGGGAACUCUGAGGGGACUGCCCGUGGAUAACCGGGAGGAAGGCGGGGAUGACGUCAAAUCAUCAUGCCCCUUAUGUCCGGGGCUACACAAGUGUUACAAUGGCGGAAACAGAGGGAGGCAGCCCCGUGAGGGGGAGCGAACCCCCAAAACACCUCCUCAGUUGGGAUGGUAGUCUGCAACCCGAUUACAGGAAGCCGGAAUCGUUAGUAUUCGGGAAUCAGCAUGUCGCGGUGAAUACGUUCCCGGGUCUUGUACUCACCGCCCGUCA